UACGGAGGGUGCAAGCGUUAUCCGGAUUCAUUGGGUUUAAAGGGUGCGUAGGCGGUUGAUUAAGUCAGUUGUGAAAUACGGCAGCUUAACUGUCGAGGUGCAAUUGAUACUGGUUGACUUGAGUACAGACGAGGUAGGCGGAAUUGACGGUGUAGCGGUGAAAUGCAUAGAUAUCGUCAAGAACACCGAUAGCGAAGGCAGCUUACUAGACUGUAACUGACGCUGAGGCACGAAAGUGUGGGGAUCAAACAGG
rnacentral:rRNA from 1 species